rnacentral:rRNA from 1 species
UACGUAGGGGGCAAGCGUUGUCCGGAUUUAUUGGGCGUAAAGAGCGUGUAGGCGGUUAGGUAGGUCCGUUGUGAAAACUCGAGGCUCAACCUCGAGACGCCGAUGGAAACCAUCUAACUAGAGUCCGGAAGAGGAGAGUGGAAUUCCUGGUGUAGCGGUGAAAUGCGCAGAUAUCAGGAAGAACACCCGUGGCGAAAGCGGCUCUCUGGAACGGUACUGACGCUGAGACGCGAAAGCGUGGGGAGCGAACAGG